rnacentral:lncRNA from 1 species
ACAACUACGAUAAAGCAGUCUUAUCUAGCGCCUGGGCUAUAGGCUGCCUGCUGCAUUACAUGAUGACCGGAGACUUGGUCAACUACUUCGAUGUUAAAGUCAAGGGCAAGAUUUCGCUUCCACCCAGCUUAAUGAGAGACUGCCGAGAUCUGAUCACAAAGUGUCUGAGACAAAACAUGACGCUUGAUCAGUUCUUACAACACGACUGGAUGAAGAGAGCGUAGAAUGAAGACGAGACCCGAUACAGAUGAAGAAAGCAGCAAGGUCUUCUGCAGAAAAUUAACAAAACAUUUCUAUAAAAAACUCAUAAAACCAACACAAACGUCAUAAAGAAGCCAAGAAGAACCCACAUCUAACUGAUCCAGAACCAGAGUCUGUCCUGAGACCCAAACACUGCAGGAUCAGCGUCGUCAUCAGUGCUAGGAAACGGCCUCUUCUGUGCAGGCAAAAAUGGAAACCCGUGAUGGACUCUGAGGAUGUGGAUGGUUAAAUCUGAGUGCAUUUUGAGGAGGACGUGAUGUUCCUCUAGAGGAUGAGGAUGAAGAAACACCAGCACCAGAACAAAGCAUUGGGUCAGGUUUAUAUGAUAAGCAGAAGGUUUAAAACAAUAAUGAAUUACAAAACUGUUAAAAAAUGAGCAAGCAUUACUAAUCUGGCAAAUAAAUCCCCUGAACACAAAUGAAGAGAACUUUAGAUGAAAUCAGAGAGCUCCCUCAUCCUUCAUGGACAGCAACAGCCCCAAGUUGCUCAGAAACAAAGUCCAGAA